UGGGGGCUGUGACUGUCUCUGUCUGGGUUUUCUCUGUCUCAUGGUGUGCACUCAGCUCAGCAAGGUGGUGGUCUGCAGCAGUGCUUGCUGCUGUGGGCCCCUUACUGGCCUGUAGUGGGGUGCACGCUCGGGUGGAGAUGUCCCGACCCUGGGCCGUUAGCAGCCUCCGGUGAAGUCGGCCUCCUGAUGUUUCCUGACAUUGCUCCUCUGUAACCACAUGCUUUUCAGAUUGCGUUGUCUGUGUGCGUGCGUGCGUGUGUGCGUGCGUGCGUGUGUGUAUGUGCUGGGGUGGGGAGGUGGGGGGAUGGAUUGGGGGGGGUUCUUCUUUUUGCUGCAUCUGUUGUAUGAAAAGUGCUUUCAAAAUAAAGUUUGAUAAGUUUAGAUUUGAUUAUUUUCUGAGGUGACAAAAGGAAAAUAGCCAUUUUUUUCAAUUCUUAAUACUCAAAUUAACUAAACUGAUGAGUGUAUGUAUUUUAUUACUCAAAAAAUAAUCCCUGGAAACUCUUACAGAUUACUUGGUAACACAUGAAACAUGGGUAAAUCCAAGAAUUUUGAGACUCAAGCAUACUAUAUAAAAGACGCCCUGUAUCCGACGUAGGGCUAAAAAAUCUGUUUAAUGUGGGAGAGGGGGAAAAAUUUCAUUCCUUAUUUUUUAAUGAAAUUACCGUUUCAGUCCAACUCAGCAUCAGCAGCCCCCCCGCUAAGCCUGCAAGCUUCCACGGUUCAACAAGUACGCUUAACAUUCAAGCUGAAUAUAUACGAUACAUCUUCAAGAGUUGGGUAGUUAACCAUUUGAGCAGAAAGAAACAUGCAAAACAAACCAAAUAAAAUGCAUCUCAGCAUUUGUAUCUACAGCUGAAUUCCACAGAUGCCCUUCUAUGAAGAAAAGCACCAAUCCCAAUCAGCUGACUCAGUCUAAACUUUCCCUCUGUUUGCUCAAAUCAAAACCUAGUCAUACAUGAAUUGUGUGGAAGACAAUCCUCUUUGAUGAAUUUCAUUUUGAAAUUGAUGAUAAAAACUGUUUAAUGCCACACACAUACCUAGAAGGAGGGAAUCCCCUCUCUGCUAGACUAGUUUCCUGUCAGAGCUCCUGCCGACUCACUGUGUUAAAAGAUAGAGCUCUUUUGAAAGAAACGGCAUCUAAAGUCAGAUAACCUUGACUCUGAUGUGAGACUUAUUGAUGUGUGAGUGUGUGUGUGUGUGUUUCCUGCAGUUAUCGAAACAUCUUUUCUCUUAAGUCAAGCUGCAAACAUUUGCAGCCUCAUCUUAGAAGGAUAGUCUGACUCUGACUGACCUUGUUUGAGGGCUUAAGAGUAGCUGACACCAUUUCUCUCCAUGCCCAAGUUGAUAGUUGUGGUCAAAGGUUUGUUCAUCCACAAGUAUUCAAGAAAGCCCAGAGAUCUUUGUGUUUGUUAUCACGAUGAAUGUGUCAGACUAAACCAUUGCAGAGCUGUUAACUUCUGUUGUGGCUUUACUGAUAGAUAUGAUAGACUACACGAAAGUACCCAACCUGUCAUCGCAACCAGCAUUAUAACUUUGGACUUAAGAGACACUGGACUAGAUAACACUGCAGAAGAAGAUCGUCUGCUUUCUCUUGCCAACACUCCUCUUUUUACAGUCUGUUGAAGUAGUCCCACAUGUCCCUUGACGACACAUCAUAAAAGCAGGAAUGAUAUUUCCAAAUGUGAUGAUGAGCCCAGCAUGCAUCUAAUUUGGACCUAAGAUAAAGUUGGACCCUAGGUACAUACGAAAGGUAUGGAGCUGUAGAGCUGUCUGUGUUUCCUCUCCCGCUAAAAAACUUGUUUGUUUGAGAUGAAUCAUAACACUCCAGCCAGAAGAAGAUCUAGUGGUAACUUCUUGAAAAGGGGCCCCAUCUGCUGUAGCGGAAACAGAGAUACUUUUACCAAGAAAUCUGUGCCUAGUGGACAAGUUCCAUUACAUCAACUAGUCAGCUGCAACAUUACUUCACUAUGGUGUAGUCCAUUGUCAUCAUGAUGACUUAUAUGCAAGUUCAUUUUUCUGAGGGAUUUGGAUUAGAUCAUUCAGUGCUCAAAAAGGAAAAAAAUGUCAUGAGUGGUAAGUAAGGUUCCUGGAGCGUUGUGUUCACCAGAUUAGUAGAGGAAACAUCUUACAGUCAUUGAGUUUUCUGUGAGUGUUCCCACGGGCUGCACCAACCUGGGGAAUCUUUGCCAUUUUAUCGGUUAGUUAAAUGUGUGUAACGCCAAUGCUGAAACUCUACCAGUACAGACUCUGCUCCAAAGAUAAAUCCAAGAUAUAUCUGUGCCUAAUAGAAAACAGUCAAUUCAGGUCUACCUAACCAGUGAGCAACAAUCGAGUGAUUAUUUUGGCAAAUGGUCAUGAUGGCAUGAGUCAUUAAGGAACCAACUAGAGACCAGCCUUGACCUCAUCCCCCAAUUUGAUAUGCUGACCAUCCCCAGAGCAGAUGUGCUCAUCAGCAAAGUUUAUUUUCAACACGUGUAUCCGUGGUUGGCGAGGACGGAGUUUGAUAUUUGAAUCAUCAGCUUGAUUGAAUAAAAGAUUUAAUUAUUACUCAGGCUCAUACAGCUGUCCUCUUCACUGUUCCUGGUUAAUGUGUCACGUGUCUUUCCUUCUGGCCAUGAGUUUACUUGGUUGGAGAUUAAGUGGCCUAGAAAAUCCUGCAAUGAUUGUAGCAUCUGAAUUCAAUCAAAUAUUUUUGUCAACAUUUUUUGUUUUGCCCGAACUGCAGAAACAAGUGGUUGUGAGAAAGUGAGAUAGAAGUUCUGUCAAGGGAGAAAAUUCGGUUUUUAUAAUGUACAGACCAGAAAUAGUAAUACAUACAUACUAGCAUACACAGUGAUUUAGUAUUUGCCAUCAGUGCCAUUGCAACCCAGGAAGGUAUUGGAGAGGAAUUUGUGUCGACAAGUUUAACUGGUCCUUUUUUUAGGAAACAUAUAUUUUCACACCCUUUCAUUGUUUUCUAUUUGAUUAAUUUCAUACUGCCUUUCCACUGAAGUUCAAAAAUAAAAACCCCCAAAGAAAU